rnacentral:piRNA from 1 species
AACGCAAUAGAACAACAAAACGAU